GGGUCCUGGCUUUACCUUGCAGUUAGGGGAUAUCCUGGAUGCCUCACGGCUUCAUUUCCCAUGGCGGCCAACACAUUGGUCGUUUGUAUACCAUUCUUCGCUUGACUUUGAUGGCUGCAUCUCACAGUCCCUCUUCUGCAUCCGGCUGAGUUUGGGCCUCUUCAGAUCCAGCUGCCACCACACUGCACAGGAAUAAAAAAACGUCCCUCUGGGAACCGGCAGGAAUUGUGACUCGUGAUAUAUAAAUGCAGAUGGGUGACAUUCUCUCUACUCACCUGAAUGAGCUCCCGCAUCCCCUGGGCCAGCCACACUGGGACACACACAGAAGGUUAGCCAAGGCUCAACCAAGAAAGGCUAGCCUUACAUGUUCAGGCGAGCUCCCAGCAUGCUCUUUUGUGCUACUCAUGGUCACCGAGAGAACAUCAGAGGCUGCCUCUGUUCCAGCCAGACUUUUCCCCAUCUCUGAACCCCAGAUUCUUCAGUUCUUCUCACUGAAGUCAAGAGUAACGCACACAGCCCAAGGCUUGUUACAGAGAGCGUCACUCGCCACCCGUGUUCCAGGCAAAGUGCGUCCUCUUCAAGCCUGCGCACUCAGCAGCUGCCACUGGACACAUAAACCAUCUCACUGAACACAUAAAUGCCAGCGUUGAGGCCCUAGCGGGUGAUGAGUCCUACCUGUUCCCAAGAUUUACAUCCAGGGUGUGAAAGUCAAUAAAAACUAAUUAGAUGUUUACCUC
ensembl:lincRNA 4930591A17Rik RIKEN cDNA 4930591A17 gene